AAUAAAUCAAAUUAAGACCAAAUCAACCAAUUCAAUCUCAAUAGAAACAAACAAAUAAUUAAACACACCAACAACUCAAAAUCACCAUUACAUCAAUUACGCACCACAAUCGAUCGGCUGCCAUCACCAGCAUCAAGAACCACGCACUGCACUAAGAAUCACGCACUGCAAUCGACCGACCACCAACAAUAACAACUUGCUAGAAGAGACACAAUACAAAAUAAUCAAAAAAAGCCGGAGGAAGUGUGAACCGCUAGACACAUAAGUGUUGUUCCGAAAGUAAUGACAUCACACAUGCAAAAAUCCUUCUAUCAAAGGCACAGUAGAAAUCCUCUAAUCAAAUUCGUCAAGAAAUAGUUUUCCCACCGGAUAGAAUCAAGAACUGAAAAAGAGAAAUCAAAAUAAAUAUAUAAAAGAAAAAUAAAAUAAAAACUCCAACCUAUCAAUCCUGCAAGGGAG
rnacentral:lncRNA from 1 species